AGCUAGUUUGGUGGGGUAAGGGCCUACCAAGGCGACGAUCGGUAGCUGGUCUGAGAGGAUGACCAGCCACACUGGAACUGAGACACGGUCCAGACUCCUACGGGAGGCAGCAGUGGGGAAUAUUGGACAAUGGGGGCAACCCUGAUCCAGCAAUGCCGCGUGUGUGAAGAAGGCCUGAGGGUUGUAAAGCACUUUCAGUGGGGAGGAGGGUUGAUAGGUUAAGAGCUAAUUAACUGGACGUUACCCACAGAAGAAGCACCGGCUAACUCCGUGCCAGCAGCCGCGGUAAUACGGAGGGUGCGAGCGUUAAUCGGAAUUACUGGGCGUAAAGGGUGCGUAGGUGGUUGAUUAAGUUAUCUGUGAAAUUCCUGGGCUUAACCUGGGACGGUCAGAUAAUACUGGUUGACUCGAGUAUGGGAGAGGGUAGUGGAAUUUCCGGUGUAGCGGUGAAAUGCGUAGAGAUCGGAAGGAACACCAGUGGCGAAGGCGGCUACCUGGCCUAAUACUGACACUGAGGCACGAAAGCGUGGGGAGCAAACAGGAUUAGAUACCCUGGUAGUCCACGCUGUAAACGAUGUCAACUAGCUGUUGGUUAUAUGAAAAUAAUUAGUGGCGC
rnacentral:rRNA from 1 species